CCUACGGGUGGCAGCAGUCGAGAAUCAUUCACAAUGGGGGAAACUCUGAUGGUGCGAUGCCGCGUGGGGGAAUGAAGGUCUUCGGAUUGUAAACUCCUUUCAUGUGGGAGCAAAUUAAAAAGAUAGUACCACAAGAGGAAGAGACGGCUAACUCUGUGCCAGCAGCCGCGGUAAUACAGAGGUCUCAAGCGUUGUUCGGAAUCACUGGGCGUAAAGCGUGCGUAGGCGGUUUCGUAAGUCGUGUGUGAAAGGCGCGGGCUCAACCCGCGGAAGGCACAUGAUACUGCGGGACGAGAGAAAUGGAGGGGGAAGCGGAAUUCACGGUGUAGCAGUGAAAUGCGUAGAUAUCG
rnacentral:rRNA from 1 species